UUGACCUCGGAUCAGGUAGGAAUACCCGCUGAACUUAAGCAUAUCAAUAAGCGGAGGAAAAGAAACCAACAGGGAUUGCCCCAGUAACGGCGAGUGAAGCGGCAACAGCUCAAAUUUGAAAUCUGGCCCCCCGGGUCCGAGUUGUAAUUUGCAGAGGAUGCUUCGGGCGCGGCGUCGACCAAGUCCCCUGGAACGGGGCGCCAUAGAGGGUGAGAGCCCCGUCGGGUCGGCCGCCAAGCCUGUGUGAAGCUCCUUCGACGAGUCGAGUAGUUUGGGAAUGCUGCUCUAAACGGGAGGUAGACCCCUUCUAAAGCUAAAUAUUGGCCAGAGACCGAUAGCGCACAAGUAGAGUGAUCGAAAGAUGAAAAGCACUUUGAAAAGAGGGUUAAACAGUACGUGAAAUUGUUGAAAGGGAAGCGCUUGUGACCAGACGUGCGCCGGGUGUUCAGCGGGCGUUCUCGCCCGUGUACUCGCCCCGGCGCAGGCCAGCGUCGGUUCGGAUGGGGGGAUAAAGGCCCCGGGAAUGUGGCUCCUCCGGGAGUGUUAUAGCCCGGGGCGUCAUGCCCCCGCCCGGACCGAGGUUCGCGCUCUGCAAGGACGCUGGCGUAAUGGUCCCCAGCGGCCCGUCUUGAAACACGGACCAAGGAGUCGAGGUUUUGCGCGAGUGUUUGGGUGUCAAACCCGCACGCGUAAUGAAAGUGAACGCAGGUGGGAGCUUCGGCGCACCACCGACCGAUCCUGAUGUUCUCGGAUGGAUUUGAGUAGGAGCGUAGGGCCUCGGACCCGAAAGAUGGUGAACUAUACGUGGAUAGGGUGAAGCCAGAGGAAACUCUGGUGGAGGCUCGCAGCGGUUCUGACGUGCAAAUCGAUCGUCAAAUCUGCGUAUGGGGGCGAAAGACUAAUCGAACCAUCUAGUAGCUGGUUACCGCCGAAG
rnacentral:rRNA from 1 species